UAACACUUGCUCACUUUAUACAGCUAGCAGGUGAGCUCCAAAUAGAACAGAAAGAGUCAACAGGAGGAGGAGAAGAGCUGAACUCCACUGAAUCUCUGGUCUAGACAUAGGCCACUACAUGAACUCCCUGGCUAACAGACAUGCUAGACUCUCUGGAGAGACUUGCUGGUACAUGUGCAAAUCUUGACAGAAUUUACUAUCUUAUUCUUAAAAUCUGAAGCCCUGAAGUCUACACCAUGCUUUCUUUAUAAGGAAGAGCAGCCCCUUGCAACUAGCUGGUGGGGGCUUGGAACCAUGGUGGAUUGGCAGCC